ensembl:lncRNA
AGUAUCGGUCAGCAUGUCAAGGCCUUAAAUCAAGAAAAUGUUUUCUAAUAUCUACAGAGAUACUCACAGGAACACCUCAGCAAGUGAGAGUCCAAAAGUGGCAGGGUAAAACCCGGAACCUUAAUCAGUGGCUGAUGCUGGAUGAGAGAUUCCCUCCUGGGCACACAGAAGAUUGGGUGACUUGGAAGGCACUGAACAGACUGCGGUCUGGCACCAUGAGAUGCAGAACCAACCUUAAGAAAUGGGGCCACAAAGUGGAGUCCACAAAAUGUGAGUGUGGAGAAGAGCAAAAACCACAGACCACCCAUUACAAUGCAGCCUGAGCCCUGCCACAUGCACAAUGGAGGACCUUCUUACAGCAACACCAGAGACAUCUCAAGUGGCCAGCUACUGGUCAAAGGACAUUGAGUAGAAUGCCAAGUUGUUGUUUUUAAAAAACUUUGUUUUCAAAUACAUUACAACUUGUACCCUCAGUUCGCUUCUGACAGGAUAAAUAAAACUCCGUGAAUGAGUGAAAACAGGAGGCACAGAAUGGAAAAACAGACCAGGCUCAUGUGUCUUUAGGAGCGGAGCGAAGCUAAGCGGCCUCUCGCCACAACUAGUGCCUGCAUGAGCGUGAUUUUUAAUGGGGUCAAUAGCUGGGCGGAUGCAAGGAACUGUUUACGUCCCACAAGGUAGUGAUAGCUGACUCCGUGCUCAGCAAAACCCUCUUUGGGUCUCGGGCAGGGCGAUGCCUGGAAGACCUCGAACUUGCCCUUUCAGCCCCGGGGAAGUUUGGCCUCCCCGCCACAGGCCCCAAAGGGCAGAGAAGGAGACCCCAGGACCCUGUUGCGCCCCGAAGGCUGACAUUUGUGCCCCGCCUCACGCUUUGGAGCAGGGCAAGGGCUUGUUCAGAUGCGUGAGACAUCCUCUUCCUUUCAGAAAUCCCACGGGGAAAGGAGCAAAAAAUAAAAAAAGGACAUUAAUUCUGGAUCCCUUCAGGAACAUCAAGCGGCGAGCUCUCCUUUAAUCUCUGCUUUCCGUAUCGUUGGAGACGGAUGCCAGCAGCAGGCUCCAAGUUGCUCAGAUCUCUGGAUAGAGUGGAUAAUAGAGCAAUCGCAUCCUUCCCGAUCAGUUCUUCAUCUCUCUUGCUGCCUCUCUCUCUCCUUUCCCCCGCCCCCUCUAUUUCCCAAAGAUGCCCCUGCCUCCCGCUUUGGGGAAAGGGGUGGCGGCGCUUUAGACCGAUCCAUUAGGCUCCAAGAGGGGGGCUUCCUCUCCACACACAUACACACACACAGAAAGGCGGGCGAGCUGACGGGGCCGCUCUCCUUGGAGUGCGAGGAGGGGCGGCGGCAGGAGCUGAACAAAGCGGAGGAAGCGGCGGGGCUGGGCGGGAGCCGAGGCGGAGGAGGAGGAGGAGGAGGAGGAAGAGGAGAGUCGUCGUCGUCCCCCCCCCCCCCCCCCACCCGCCUGGUCUUCCCGGGGAGAGGCCUCUCGAGCUCGCGCCGCGCCGAUAGCAGAGAGAGCACGGUGGGCAAAGCCGCCGCGCUCUACCUCUCCCUCCCUUCCUCUCUCUCUCUCUUCUUUGCUGGCUGCCUCAAGUUGGAACCGGGCUUAGUGCUCCAAGGAGAGCGGGGGCCAGGCUUCGACGGGGCAUCGCGCGGCGCCCACCCGACCCACCGCCCAGAUUGGAGGGCAUCGUCGGCGUCUGCCUCUUCUCUGGCGGCGGCGAGGACAGCUCCUCCCUUGGGAAAAAAAAUGGAGAGCCAGACGGCAACUAUAAGCGCCCCCCCCCCCCAAUCAAAGCCCUCCCAACAACUGGCCAUGCCACGUCUGCUGAAAAACCUCCAGAGAAGGAGACUCCACCAGACUCUGGGGCAGCAUAUGUCACUGUCUGAAACAACUUGAAGGCACACAACAACAACAAUCCCAAUUGACUUGACUCUCUCACCAGCCAAAAGUAGGCCCACACCUCCCAUUGAAAGAUUUGUAUGAUUAAAUUGGUUAAAAUUGUUCUUUGUUUUAUAUGUUGAAUGGUUCUUUCAUGGGUUUUUUUUGAACUAUGAAUAAGACUAAUGCAGUGUGCUUAAGAAUGUGUUCAUUUUUUUUUCUCAACUGUAGUCUGGUCUCCCAACAGGCGGAGGGACCGUGAACUGGUCCUCAUCUUAAAAAAAUUUGGACACUUCUGCCUUAACCCCUCCAUAUGAGUUCCCUCUGAAGCUGCAUGCUUGCUGGGAAAGGAUGGCCAUCCUGGAUAGGAAUUUCCAAAUCAGUCCAUUCUUCUGGUAGAAGUUCCAUAUUGAGUCUCUCCUCCCCCCUUUUUUUUAUUAGAUCAUCUCUUUUGUGACAGGAGUGCAUGGGUACUUCUUCCCUUUAUAUUGUGCUCUGCAUUUCCCUUAGCUGUCUUUAUUUAUAUUUAUUAUUUAAAGCCUUUUUACUACACUCAUUGGUCAUAAAGGCUCCUCAAAUUGGUAUAGAAACAUCAGCAGUAAAUUUCAGUCUAAAGACAUCUCACAAUGAAAAAGUAAUAAGGAGGAAGAGAAACACAAAACUGGCUACAAACAGCCAAAGUGAGAGUUCUUCAAGCAGGUUUGGAAACUGUUUAGCUAGUUUGAUGCAAUGACCCCUUUUCAUGACAAUUUCAGCAGGAAUGAAAAAAUAGCAUUUUUCUUCUCUGCUUGGUUUCUUUAAUUUCUGCUUUUUCCCUCUUUCAUUUAUGACUCUUUCUCUCCACCCAUUC